rnacentral:rRNA from 1 species
ACAGCAGCAGCCACGGUAAUACGGAGGGUGCAAGCGUUAAUCGGAAUUACUGGGCGUAAAGCGCACGCAGGCGGUCUGACAAGUCAGAUGUGAAAUCCCCGGGCUUAACCUGGGAACUGCAUUUGAAACUGUCAGGCUGGAGUCUUGUAGAGGGGGGUAGAAUUCCAGGUGUAGCGGUGAAAUGCGUAGAGAUCUGGAGGAAUACCGGUGGCGAAGGCGGCCCCCUGGACAAAGACUGACGCUCAGGUGCGAAAGCGUGGGGAGCAAACAGGAUUAGAUACCCGCGUAGUCCCUGUCUCUUAUAC